GAUGAACGCUAGCUACAGGCUUAACACAUGCAAGUCGAGGGGAAACGACAUCGAAAGCUUGCUUUUGAUGGGCGUCGACCGGCGCACGGGUGAGUAACGCGUAUCCAACCUGCCCACCACUUGGGGAUAACCUUGCGAAAGUAAGACUAAUACCCAAUGACGUCUCUAGAAGACAUCUGAAAGAGAUUAAAGAUUUAUCGGUGAUGGAUGGGGAUGCGUCUGAUUAGCUUGUUGGCGGGGUAACGGCCCACCAAGGCGACGAUCAGUAGGGGUUCUGAGAGGAAGGUCCCCCACAUUGGAACUGAGAAACGGUCCAAACUCCUACGGGAGGCAACAGUGAGGAAUAUUGGUCAAUGGGCGAGAGCCUGAACCAGCCAAGUAGCGUGCAGGAUGACGGCCCUAUGGGUUGUGAACUGCUUUUAUAAGGGAAUAAAGUGAGUCUCGUGAGACUUUUUGCAUGUACCUUAUGAAUAAGGACCGGCUAAUUCCGUGCCAGCAGCCGCCGUAA
rnacentral:rRNA from 1 species